rnacentral:rRNA from 1 species
GGGCCCGCACAAGCGGUGGAGCAUGUGGUUUAAUUCGAUGAUACGCGAGGAACCUUACCAGGGCUUAAAUGUAAGUUGCAUGAUUCAGAAAUGAAUCUUUCUUCGGACUACUUACAAGGUGCUGCAUGGUUGUCGUCAGCUCGUGCCGUGAGGUGUCAGGUUAAGUCCUAUAACGAGCGCAACCCCUAUCGUUAGUUGCCAUCGAGUCAUGUCGGGAACUCUAACAAGACUGCCGGUGCAAACCGUGAGGAAGGUGGGGAUGACGUCAAAUCAUCACGGCCCUUAUGGCCAGGGCUUCACACGUAAUACAAUGGACGGUACAGAGGGACGCCAACCCGCGAGGGGGAGCC